CGGGCUAAACCCGCGUACAUGCCACCGGGGCAUCCCGGAGGCAGGAAAGGCUUCGGCCGGACAGGGAUGGGCAUGCGGCGCAUUAGGCAGUAGGCGGGGUAACGGCCCACCUAACCGACGAUGCGUAGGGGUUCUGAGAGGAAGGCCCCCCACACUGGUACUGAGACACGGACCAGACUCCUACGGGAGGCAGCAGUGAGGAAUAUUGGUCAAUGGUCGGGAGACUGAACCAGCCAAGCCGCGUGAGGGAUGAAGGUACAGAGUAUCGUAAACCUCUUUUGUCAGGGAACAAAGGCGGGGACGUGUCCCCGGAUGAGUGUACCUGAAGAAAAAGCAUCGGCUAACUCCGUGCCAGCAGCCGCGGUAAUACGGAGGAUGCGAGCGUUAUCCGGAUUUAUUGGGUUUAAAGGGUGCGCAGGCGGGCUGUUAAGUCAGCGGUCAAAGCCCGGGGCUCAACCCCGGCCCGCCGUUGAAACUGGCAGUCUCGAGUUGGAGAGAAGUAUGCGGAAUGCGCGGUGUAGCGGUGAAAUGCAUAGAUAUCGCGCAGAACUCCGAUUGCGAAGGCAGCAUGCCGGCUCCACACUGACGCUGAGGCACGAAAGCGUGGGUAUCGAACAGGAUUAGAUACCCUGGUAGUCCACGCAGUAAACGA
rnacentral:rRNA from 1 species